rnacentral:rRNA from 1 species
UACGUAGGGUGCGAGCGUUAAUCGGAAUUACUGGGCGUAAAGCGUGCGCAGGCGGUUCGUUGUGUCGGCGGUGAAAGCCCCGGGCUUAACCUGGGAACGGCCGUUGAAACUGGCGAACUGGAGUGUGGCAGAGGGGGGUGGAAUUCCGCGUGUAGCAGUGAAAUGCGUAGAGAUGCGGAGGAACACCAAUGGCGAAGGCAGCCCCCUGGGCUAACACUGACGCUCAGGCACGAAAGCGUGGGGAGCAAACAGG